CCUACGGGCGGCAGCAGUGGGGAAUAUUGCACAAUGGGGGAAACCCUGAUGCAGCGACGCCGCGUGAGUGAAGAAGUAUUUCGGUACGUAAAGCUCUAUCAGCAGGGAAGAAAAUGACGGUACCUGACUAAGAAGCCCCGGCUAACUACGUGCCAGCAGCCGCGGUAAUACGUAGGGGGCAAGCGUUAUCCGGAUUUACUGGGGGUAAAGGGAGCGUAGACGGCAGCGCAAGUCUGGAGUGAAAUCCCAUGGCUUAACCAUGGAACUGCUUUGGAAACUGUGCAGCUAGAGUGCAGGAGAGGUAAGCGGAAUUCCUAGUGUAGCGGUGAAAUGCGUAGAUAUUAGGAGGAACACCAGUGGCGAAGGCGGCUUACUGGACUGUAACUGACGUUGAGGCUCGAAAGCGUGGGGAGCAAACAGGAUUAGAUACCCCAGUAGUC
rnacentral:rRNA from 1 species